rnacentral:rRNA from 1 species
UACGAAGGGGAGCUAGCGUUGCUCGGAAUCACUGGGCGUAAAGCGCACGUAGGCGGCUUUUUAAGUCAGGGGUGAAAUCCUGGAGCUCAACUCCAGAACUGCCUUUGAUACUGAGAAGCUUGAGUCCGGGAGAGGUGAGUGGAACUGCGAGUGUAGAGGUGAAAUUCGUAGAUAUUCGCAAGAACACCAGUGGCGAAGGCGCUCACUGGCCCGGUAUGACGCUGAGACGCGAAA